UAGAAAUAACCUGGUUAAAGAAAAACUUAAUGAUGCCCCUCUGUGCCUUUGGUAUCAGCUGCUGUUAGAGGGGGGGGGUUCUGGAUCCAGCUGAGGAAUAUCAUGAAGAGGAGGUUCCUGUGGAGAAUGGAAUAAACUUAAAGGAAGAGGGAGGAAUGCUUACUGGAUGUCUGAUUUGGAUUUUGAUCUUUGGUUCAGGGAAGGGAGUUGAUGUGACCAUCUUGUACCUUUGGAUGUGAUCAUCAGCUGCAGAUGUGAAGGUGUAUGACUUAUCUUCUAGAAACAUCAGGCAAGAACUGAGAACUGAGACUCAGUGGAUAAAGGUCCCUGGGACAACGGAGAACCAACGUGACAGAGGGUCAAAAUAAAUCUUCGUGCAGGAGCAUAGAGCUGUUCCAAGUAGCCUUCUAUGGACAUUGCCUUCAUCCUAUUUUUUGAUAGGGCAGUUUCCACAGUUACCAGCUCUUCUGUUUGAGGUUUCUGUGCUGUCUCCUAUCUGUAUUACUGAACAUAGCUCUUCCAUUAGUUAAAUGCUACAUUCCCUGUCAUGGAGAAUAUCACAAAGAAUAAGAAUUUGGCAAAGGUUUUAUUUGAGCUAUUAUUAUCUGUGGUUAUUCUGUACAGAAGGUGCUUGUUUAGUGUGAUGUCUUACUGUCUGGGGACUGUGAAAUAAAAUCAGUAUAAAAGUUUUGACCACUAGUAAUGACUUCAGUUACAUCAGAGUGCCUAGGCUGAAUUAGUAAAAUGUUGGUUGGUUGGUUUUUUUUUUUUUGUUUGUUUUUUUUGCAGGUCUCCAAGAAGCCAGAGUAUACACAGUCAGUCAUGCAUUGAGCACUCAUCCUCAAGAUUAGGUUCUGUAUUAAACAUCAUCUUGUUUAGUGAUUACCUUAGCCCAGGAAAUUGAAAUUUGUGGUUUGCACAAAAGAAAGUAUGCAUGCUUUUACACUGUAGGAAUUUCCAGGUAAGGUUAAAAUAUAAAAAGCGGGAGGCUUUUUAUGAGAUAAGCAUUCAAAAUGUAGAAAGAUGAAUAUAAAGAUGAAUAUGUUUGAUGGUGUAUGUGUGGGACCUAUAACAAAAAAAUAUCUGAAAGUUACUCUUAUGUGUCAUAAAUGGAGUUUUCACAUAAACAAUAUUUUUAAAUGGGUAUUUUUCAUAUUAAAAAUGAUUAAACUAGUGUUUUCAGCCUGUGGUUGCAAGGGCCCUACGGUGAGGAGAAGGAGGAGGGAAAGACUCUCACUCAAAUUAAGACCUCAUCUCUGUCACAUUAGCUGUCAGCAGCUGAAUUUUCUCACGAUACAAGGAAGUGUGUCCUUCUGUUGUUUCAAACUGGUACAUAUGUCUGCCUGCUUAUUAGAAGGAAUUUCAUGCUGAGAAUACAUGGUGUGGAUGCUCAUAAAAUUCACUGGCUUACUGGACAGGAUAAAGGUGUUAACUUUAACCUACUGGAAGUAUUGAAUACUUUGCCACUAAAAUCUUAAACAGCAGAGAUAAGCUGUAAUUCUAUGAUAAAUCUGCUGAUUUCUAUCAUAAGCUCACCAAUGCUCUUUCUAUAUUAUCCUAUAGAAUACUAAUUUGGAUAUUUAAGUUCUAAAUAGUGUGAAUGUAAGAUUAAGUUCUCAGAACCUGUAAAAAGCAAAGCUUUAUGUGUAAAGGCCAUUAUUUUGUGCUGAACUGUCUCAAAGGAGAGUACAAAGCAAAUCUGUUCCUCUCUGUAUUUUACAAGAGAAUUGAUCAUCUGCAGGUGACUGAAACUACACUUACUUUGUCAGACCCUAGGUAAACUAUUUCUUUUGCCUGUAGUCUUGAUUUAGUUUGUUGUGGAAUUGUGCGUGUGGUGUCUUUAAUUUCUUCUAUUAUUGAUAUCUACUUUACCCUUAAGCUCUUCCAAAAAAAUGGCCAAAAUAUCAAAGGCAUACUGACAAGAAUUGAUUAUGAACUACAGGGCAAAGAAUGCUUUUCCCACAUCCAAGAACUGUGGACUAAGAAAUAUAUAAUUCAUGCACCAAAUAACACUAACUGGGUUUGUUUUUUUUUUUUUUAAUGCAUAAGUAGGUAUGCUAAUAAUGUAAAAGAAAAGGCCAUCUUUUGUGUAUGUGAUGAAGAAAUAGAGGUGAUGUCUGAAAAUAUUAAUCAAGCCUAAAAGUUAAGUUUUUUAGAAAGUGCCUGCUGCUUUUGUCACAAAUUCUUGAUAUUAAUGUCCCAGCAACUAUGUUUGCAGACAUAGUACAAUAUCAUACAAUAUAGCAUAGUACCACUGGAGACACUUUACUUCAAAUGUGUAUUCCUUUGUUUGUGAAGCACCUCUGAGCAUAGGUUCUAAAAAUUCUAAAGUUCUGUAAUUUUUUGGGUAAAGUAACAUACCUGUCACAGAAUUUCUAGCAAGCAAUCUGUGCCAAUUCCUAGACCUCACUAAGAUAUACUUAUUCUUUAAAGAGUAACUUUGUAAGCUAUUUUGUUGUUUUCUCCUUGUGUAAGUAGUAAUAUAUUCCUCCAUGCCCGUAUUCUGAGGUAAACUGUUCAAGUUAAAAAGUGGUAUCAACCAAUAAGUUGAAAUAAAGCAAAUCUGACUUCUUCAUCUUUGCUGCCAAAAAUCUUUCACUGGAAAGAUUAGUUUAUUUUCUAAAGUUGUAGUUUUGCCACCUCCACCAACUUCUCUUUCCUAGCCCUUGCUCCUGGGAUCUAGUAGCAUUAAUAAUUGCUAAAGUGCUGAAACAUUACACUUAAAUGUCACUAAUCUCAAUUAAGAAAAAAAUGUAUUAUGGUUCAAGCAAUGUUUAAGUUGGUAGAAAAUUAUACAGAAAACUCUUUGGCUCUUUAAGUUACUGCUUUGAUGUUAGCUUAAUGUCUACUUUCCGGCAAGAAUAAUACAGAGAUUUUUAUGAACAUUUGACUUUACUGUGAUUGCUGCUAGGGACUGUCAUUCUACGGAAG